AACGGCCUAAUUGGAGGUGGGAUCAUUUUAGUUCAUAAUGAUGAUGUGUUUCAAGUUGGACUAGAAAGGAUCCGAUUUGCUAUUGGGGCAUUAGUCCCUCAUUAUAAGUGGAAUGGCACCUGCCCCGCUUUGGCCAUUAGACAUAUGAUUGGAUUAAACUAUUGCAAUUCAAUUCAAUAGAGCAUCCCUGCAGAAGAUGCUGUUUUUUUUUUUCAGAAGCAGAAGAUGCUGUUUUCAACAUACUAGUUUGUUUCAUAUUCCUAAUUUUCAUAUACACAUUGCAGGUUUUACUGGGAUAGAUGAUCCAUAUGAGCCUCCCAUGAAUUGCGAGGUAGAGAUAAAACAGGAAGAUGGGGUUUGUCCUACUCCCAGGUGCCAUGGCAGAACAGAUUCUAUCUUUCUUGGAGGGGAAGGGCUUUCUGCAAGAGUAGUUAUCAACCAUGCAUCCACUUACAUUCUUUCAUCUCUGAGGUGAAACUGUUCUCUCUUUGUAAACCCAAAUAAACAUGGUCAUGAGUUGUGGGCCCCAUUUGCUUCAGUACUUACAUGCAGUUUCAAUAAAUUGAUUUACUCAUUUCUCUACCUCAGGGAAAUUUGUAAUCAUGCACUGAUUCUUUUGUUAACAUGAGUUUGAUUAUCUCAUGGAAGUAGAUGUGAGUUUGUGUUGUAUCACGCUUCCUUUUUUUACAUUAAUAAAUGUGGACAACAUGAUGUUGGUGAUUUUUGUGUCCCUAAAGAUACAUUUUUCAGGAAAAUACAUCUAGUUUUGCUCAUUUUUCAGGAAAAAAUCAAAAUAAAAAUCCAUCAAAAUACAUGUGGUUGAAGUUUCACAUGUUGAAAAGGGGGACAUGGUGGCAGUUUCAGUUGUUGUUGAGUGACCUGGUCUUCAUGGUGGAUGGGGAGUUGGUAUAACACGUGGAACUGUUCUCUAAGGAUUGCAAACAGGUAAGCAGUUUGAAUUUUGAUUAAUAAUUACAUGUAAAACUAAAAUAAAGAUGAAGUAGAUCUUGGACCAUUUUGUAGUUCA